rnacentral:rRNA from 1 species
AACGAACGCUGGCGGCAUGCCUAACACAUGCAAGUCGAACGAGACCUUCGGGUCUAGUGGCGCACGGGUGCGUAACGCGUGGGAACCUGCCUUUAGGUUCGGAAUAACUCAGAGAAAUUUGAGCUAAUACCGGAUGAUGUCUUCGGACCAAAGAUUUAUCGCCUUUAGAUGGGCCCGCGUUGGAUUAGCUAGUUGGUGGGGUAAAGGCCUACCACGGCGACGAUCCAUAGCUGGUCUGAGAGGAUGAUCAGCCACACUGGGACUGAGACACGGCCCAGACUCCUACGGGAGGCAGCAGUGGGGAAUAUUGGACAAUGGGCGAAAGCCUGAUCCAGCAAUGCCGCGUGAGUGAUGAAGGCCUUAGGGUUGUAAAGCUCUUUUACCCGAGAUGAUAAUGACAGUAGCGGGAGAAUAAGCUCCGGCUAACUCCGUG